CAUCUCAGUACCCGUAGGAAGAGAAAAUAAGAAUGAUUCCGGGAGUAGUGGCGAGCGAAACUGGAUGAGCCUAAACCGUGUGCGUGUCAAGCGUGCUGGUGUUGCGUACAUGGUGUUGUGGGGUGUGUGUGUUCGGUUCAGCAUGACCGAGACGCUGAUGUGCUGCGUGUAGUCGAAGCUGGUGGGAAACAGUACCGGAGUGGGUGAGAGUCCCGUAGACGAAACGCGUGGCCCCGGUGUGACACGUGUCCCCGAGUAGCACGGAACUCGUGGAAUUCCGUGUGAAUCUGCCAGGACCACCUGGUAAGGCUAAAUACUUCCUGAUGACCGAUAGCGGAUCAGUACCGUGAGGGAAUGGUGAAAAGUACCCCCGGGAGGGGAGUGAAAGAGUACUGAAACCAUGUGCUUACAAUCCGUCAGAGCACCCGUGUUGGUGUGAUGGCGGUGCCUUUUGAAGAAUGAGCCCUGCGAGUUAGCGGUGCGUGGCGAGGUUAAACCCGUGUGGGGUAGCCGUAGCGAAAGCGAGUCCGAUAGGGCGGUCCAGUCGCGUGUCCUAGACCCGAAGCGGAGUGAUCUAGCCAUGGGCAGGGUGAAGCAGCAGUAAGAUGUUGUGGAGGCCCGCACCCACUUCAGUUGAAAAUGGAGGGGAUGACCUGUGGUUAGGGGUGAAAGGCCAAUCAAACUCUGUGAUAGCUGGUUCUCCCCGAAAUGCAUUUAGGUGCAGCGUUGCGUGGUUCUUGCCGGAGGUAGAGCUACUGGAUGGCUGAUGGGCCCCACCGGGUUACUGACGUCAACUAAACUCCGAAUGCCGGUAAGGUUCAGCGUGGCAGUGAGACAGUGGGGGAUAAGCUUCAUUGUCGAGAGGGAAACAGCCCAGACCAUCAACUAAGGCCCCUAAGCGUGUGCUGAGUGGGAAAGGAUGUUCAGUUGCGAAGACAACCAGGAGGUUGGCUUAGAAGCAGCCACCCUUGAAAGAGUGCGUAAUAGCUCACUGGUCAAGUGAUUGAGCGCCGAUAAUGUAGCGGGGCUAAGUACACCGCCGAAGUUGUGGCAGCAUCACGAUACUGUAAUGGUGUGGUGUUGGGUAGGGGAGCGUCGUGUCGCCAGUGAAGUCGCCGUGUGAACGAGUGGUGGAGGCGUCACGAGUGAGAAUGCAGGCAUGAGUAGCGAAAGACGGGUGAGAAACCCGUCCACCGGAUGACCAAGGGUUCCAGGGCUAGGCUAAUCCGCCCUGGGUAAGUCGGGACCUAAGGCGAGGCCGACAGGCGUAGUCGAUGGACAACCAGUUGAUAUUCUGGUACCGACACACAACCGACAAUACCAAAACACAUGAGACUAACUCCCCGGUCCACCCGUGGCGUCUUCGGAUGUCUGGUUGGUGGUCUGGUGAGGACCUGAGUGUGGAGUCGGUAAGCGUGAGGUGUGACGCAGAAAGGUAGCCAGGCCACGCGAUGGUAGUCGUGGUCUAAGGUCGUAGCAUGUGGGGGUAGGCAAAUCCGUCCCCACGCAUAGUGUGAGAGCUGAUGGGCGCCCCACAGUGGUGGGGUGAUCUGGUGAUCCUCUGCUGCCGAGAAAAGCAUCGACGUGAGGGUGUGUGUUGCCCGUACCCUAUAACCGACACAGGUGGUCAGGUAGAGAAUACUAAGGUGAUCGAGAGAAUCGUGGUUAAGGAACUCGGCAAAAUGCCCCCGUAACUUCGGGAGAAGGGGGGCCAUCCUGGUGAACAAUCCUUGCGGUUGGGAGCUGGUGGUGGUCGCAGAGGCCAGAGAGAAGCGACUGUUUAUUAAAAACACAGGUCCGUGCGAAGAUGUAAGUCGAUGUAUACGGACUGACGCCUGCCCGGUGCUGGAAGGUUAAGAGGACCCGUUAACCCUUGGGUGAAGCGGAGAAUUUAAGCCCCAGUAAACGGCGGUGGUAACUAUAACCAUCCUAAGGUAGCGAAAUUCCUUGUCGGGUAAGUUCCGACCUGCACGAAUGGCGUAACGACUUCUCUGCUGUCUCAACCACGAACUCGGCGAAAUUGCAUUACGAGUAAAGAUGCUCGUUACGCGCAGCAGGACGGAAAGACCCCGAGACCUUCACUAUAGUUUGGUAUUGGGCUUCGGUGUGGUUUGUGUAGGAUAGGUGGGAGAUGUUGAAGCCUGGUCGCCAGAUCGGGUGGAGUCGGCAAGUGAAAUACCACUCUGACCAUUCUGGAUUCCUUAACUUCGGACCCUGAUCGGGUUCAGGGACAGUGCCUGAUGGGUAGUUUAACUGGGGCGGUUGCCUCCUAAAGAGUAACGGAGGCGCCCAAAGGUUCCCUCAGCCUGGUUGGCAAUCAGGUGUCGAGUGUAAGUGCACAAGGGAGCUUGACUGUGAGACGGACGUGUCGAGCAGGAGCGAAAGCUGGGACUAGUGACCCGGCCAUGGCUUGUGGAAGCGUGGUCGCUCAACGGAUAAAAGGUACCUCGGGGAUAACAGGCUGAUCUUGCCCAAGAGUCCAUAUCGACGGCAUGGUUUGGCACCUCGAUGUCGGCUCGUCGCAUCCUGGGGCUGGAGUCGGUCCCAAGGGUUGGGCUGUUCGCCCAUUAAAGCGGUACGCGAGCUGGGUUUAGAACGUCGUGAGACAGUUCGGUCCCUAUCCGCUGCGUGCGUAGGAAAUUUGUGGAGGGCUGUCCUUAGUACGAGAGGACCGGGACGGACGAACCUCUGGUGUGCCAGUUGUACCGCCAGGUGCAUGGCUGGUUGGCUACGUUCGGGAAGGAUAACCGCUGAAAGCAUCUAAGCGGGAAGCCUGCUCCGAGAUGAGAUUUCCAUCCCUAUUGGGGGGAGGUGCCCAGGAGAACACUGGGUUGAUAGGCCGGGUAUGGAAGCACUGUGAGGUGUGGAGUUGACUGGUACUAAUACGCCGAUCACUCAUACAA
rnacentral:rRNA from 1 species